rnacentral:rRNA from 1 species
UAUCUCUGUAGAGUCUGCAUAUCAAUAAGCGGAGGAAAAGAAACUAACUAGGAUUCCCUCAGUAACGGCGAGUGAAGCGGGAAGAGCUCAAAUUUGAAAUCUUCAAGGUUUUACCUUGACGAAUUGUAGUUUAAAGAAGUGUUUUCUGUUGGAAGUUUUGGUAAAAGUUCUUUGGAAAUAGGACAUCAUAGAGGGUGAGAAUCCCGUAUUUGACCAGUUAUUUCCAGCUUUGUGAUACACUUUCAAAGAGUCGGAUUGUUUGGGAAUGCAGUCCAAAAUGGGUGGUAAAUUUCAUCUAAAGCUAAAUACUGGCGAGAGACCGAUAGCGAACAAGUACCGUGAGGGAAAGAUGAAAAGAACUUUGAAAAGAGAGUUAAACAGUACGUGAAAUUGUCAAAAGGGAAGCGUUUGACACCAGUGUUGUUUUCUCGAAAAUCAAUUAAAAAUGGUGGGAUUUUGUGUUGUAUUGACUUUAUCAGCUUUCUGCACUUUUUUCCUAUCUUUUUUAAUGCACUUUUCGUUUAACAAGUCAACAUCAAUUUCUUUUGCUGUAAAAGAGUCAUUGGAAGGUGGCUUUCUUUUCGGAGAAAGUGUUUAUAGCCUUUGACUUCUGCAGUCGGAGAGAUUGAGGUCUGCAGCGUAGAUCCUUCGGGGUUAGAUACAUUUGUGCUAAGCUAUAGCCUUUCAUAGACAACUUGUUGACUAUGAUCAGUCAUGUAGCUUACUCGCUUAUGCUAUUUUACCUACGCUUAGGAUGUUGAACGCGCACAGAGUCUC